GGCGCUAUGGUGCAACGGUUAGCACGUGGCCCUUUCAAGGCCAAAAUGCGGGUUCGAUUCCCGCUAGCGCUACCA
rnacentral:tRNA from 1 species